AUUGAACGCUGGCGGCAGGCCUAACACAUGCAAGUCGAGCGGCAGCAAGCCUUCGGGCGUUGGCGAGCGGCGGACGGGUGAGGAAUACGCAGGAAUCUGCCUGGUAGAGGGGGAUAGCCCAGAGAAAUUUGGAGUAAUACCGCAUAUGCCCUGAGGGGGAAAGUGGGGGACCGAAAGGCCUCACGCUAUCAGAGGAGCCUGCGUCGGAUUAGCUAGUUGGUGUGGUAAAGGCUCACCAAGGCGACGAUCC
rnacentral:rRNA from 1 species